rnacentral:tmRNA from 1 species
UUCUAGAAAUAGCGAACUGGUAGCUGCUUAAGUCAGCUUCUGUCCACCGAGGGAGUACCGAGGCUCUCGCUUGGGCAUCGAUGAGCGGUGAACGAUUGACGGAAGUGUCCGUGUCCGUCAAUUGUAUACGGACUACCUGAGACUUCAGCCCGUUUAUCGGCGGUCGUCACAGGGAAUCAUAAUAGGUAAAAUACGCUCGUAGAAAGUUGCAUGAAUGGGCUUUCGGACAGGGGUUCAAUUCCCCUCGCCUCCACCA